GACGCUUGCCAUUGAUAUUGUCCUGUCACAGCAGUAUUGUAACACUAUAUUAUAGUUUACUGCUGGGUCGGGGCAUUAACAUUGUUGAGCGUCAUUAGCA
ensembl:ncRNA mir-1000 mir-1000 stem loop